rnacentral:rRNA from 1 species
UGGGGAAUAUUGCACAAUGGGCGCAAGCCUGAUGCAGCCAUGCCGCGUGUAUGAAGAAGGCCUUCGGGUUGUAAAGCACUUUCAGCGGGGAGGAAGGCGAUAAGGUUAAUAACCUUGUCGAUUGACGUUACCCGCAGAAGAAGCACCGGCUAACUCCGUGCCAGCAGCCGCGGUAAUACGGAGGGUGCAAGCGUUAAUCGGAAUUACUGGGCGUAAAGCGCACGCAGGCGGUUGAUUGAGUCAGAUGUGAAAUCCCCGGGCUUAACCCGGGAAUUGCAUCUGAUACUGGUCAGCUAGAGUCUUGUAGAGGGGGGUAGAAUUCCAUGUGUAGCGGUGAAAUGCGUAGAGAUGUGGAGGAAUACCGGUGGCGAAGGCGGCCCCCUGGACAAAGACUGACGCUCAGGUGCGAAAGCGUGGGGAGCAAACAGG